UGACAUUUAAAGCGACCAAGCAACAUCAACAACGGUGCCGUGGGAGCAAGGGUGGUUGCUUGAUUGUUAUUUACCCAACGCCCUGCAUGUGUGUGACUAGCCAACAUACCGGGUUAUCUGAUUGUAGCAUUGCCGUGUUUGGCGGUAAGUUAUAUGUUCCUAACGCAUGGUCUUGCCACGGUUACCGAUACCUAUCGCACACGCCACGGAAUGAAAACGCAAUGUGGCACCGUACACCGAAGAGUUACGCAUGGUCCGGCUAUGGUGCGAACGGAACGGUUGAACUUUGUAAAGUUCUACUUCCCAGCACCAGCAACACACCACCACCACAGUGCACAGUUGUGGCCUUUUCAGAACAGGUUUAAGAACUCGUCGCGUUCUUCCUCGUGCACGGUAGCCGAAACCGUUGAAAGGGUUUGCACCCCUAAUGCACUCAAGUUUUGCAACCCACACACACAAUAAGACAAUGGGAAUAAAUCGUGUCUCUCCCUCCUUCCCUCGGAUAGCCGGAUAACGAAUUUAGAUUUAUUUGUUUGUGGUUGGAAACAUCCGAACGACUUGACUUAAACUAUCCGAGAAAAAAAAAACAAAUGCUGCCAAUGCUGGCAGGUGAAUGGUAUCGUCGGAAACCGUCGUUCCGUUCCGUCAAGGCCGAUUGCAAUUAAUUGCAACGUGGCACGUGAAACGUGAUAGUCGAAAUAAUUAGCCGUGUUAGUUAGCGAACUUUUCGAGUGCUGUUUCGAUGAAAUAUCGUGCCCAAAAGUGUGUACCAAUUCGGUACGGGAUGUUUCUUCACUGGGCUUUCAGCUGUAGUCAAACGCGUUCGGUUUAUCGUCCAACAAUAGAGCAGUAGUUGGAAUGAAUGAAGUCUCUUUUUAUCGUGUGAACCUUAUUGAAUGGUACACGAGUUAAGGCACCAAUUAUUAGAGCUUAAAAUCGUUUUAAGCGUUUUAAUUGAUGUCGUUUGGUUAAAUAUUUCUUUACGAUUUACAAUGGAUGGACAAAUUCAUCAUUUAUUUAUGGAAAAAAUAAAAUUUAAACUAAGGUUAUAAAUUAGAAGAACCAACUAAACAUGGGAACAAAGAAAAAAAAGAUCUGAAGAAUAUUCAAACAAAAUUUG